AAAGGAAUUGACGGGGACCCGCACAAGCAGCGGAGCAUGUGGUUUAAUUCGAAGCAACGCGAAGAACCUUACCAGGUCUUGACAUCCUCUGACAAUCUGAGAGAUCAGACUUUCCCUUCGGGGACAGAGAGACAGGUGGUGCAUGGUUGUCGUCAGCUCGUGUCGUGAGAUGUUGGGUUAAGUCCCGCAACGAGCGCAACCCCUGUGGUUAGUUGCCAUCAUUCAGUUGGGCACUCUAAGCAGACUGCCGUGGAUAACACGGAGGAAGGUGGGGACGACGUCAAAUCAUCAUGCCCCUUAUGACCUGGGCUACACACGUGCUACAAUGGUCUGAACAGAGGGCUGCGAAACCGCGAGGUGAAGCUAAUCCCUUAAAACAGAUCUCAGUUCGGAUUGCAGGCUGAAACUCGCCUGCAUGAAGUUGGAGUUGCUAGUAAUCGCGGAUCAGAAUGCCGCGGUGAAUGCGUUCCCGGGUCUUGUACACACCGCCCGU
rnacentral:rRNA from 1 species